GCAAGUCGAGCGGUAACAGGAAGUAGCUUGCUACUUCGCUGACGAGCGGCGGACGGGUGAGUAAUGCCUGGGAAUAUGCCUUAGUGUGGGGGAUAACUAUUGGAAACGAUAGCUAAUACCGCAUAAUGUCUUCGGACCAAAGAGGGGGAUCUUCGGACCUCUCGCCAUUUGAUUAGCCCAAGUGAGAUUAGCUAGUUGGUGAGGUAAUGGCUCACCAAGGCGACGAUCUCUAGCUGGUUUGAGAGGAUGAUC
rnacentral:rRNA from 1 species